ACUAUCUGUUUUUCCUAUAUGGUACGGCACACAUUGGAGUGUAAGUUAUAUUAUAUAGUUUAUGAAUCGAUAAACCGAUCCACUCGGCUAAAUUGAGACCGUUAAAUCAACAAAAAUCUCAAAAGUACAAUUUUUAUUUCAUUUUAGACUAAAACCCUAACGAACUACACUUUUUUUUUUUUCAUCUUUCUCUUUCUCUUUAUCUUCUCUCUUCAUCAUCUCUACAUUUCGCCCCUUUCUUCUUCCCUAUCCCACUUUGUAGGUCAUCUAUCUCUUCCUUUACAGUGUGAUAUCAUCAACCUCUUAU
rnacentral:lncRNA from 1 species